AAAUUGAAGAGUUUGAUCAUGGCUCAGAUUGAACGCUGGCGGCAGGCCUAACACAUGCAAGUCGAACGGUAACAGAAAGAAGCUUGCUUCUUUGCUGACGAGUGGCGGACGGGUGAGUAAUGUCUGGGAAACUGCCUGAUGGAGGGGGAUAACUACUGGAAACGGUAGCUAAUACCGCAUAACGUCGAAAGACCAAAGAGGGGGACCUUCGGGCCUCUUG
rnacentral:rRNA from 1 species